rnacentral:lncRNA from 1 species
GGUUUAGGGGCUCAGGAGCAAGGAGCCACAGAUCAUAUUAAAGUUCAAGUGAAAAAUAACCACCUGGGACUCGGAGCUACCAUCAAUAAUGAAGACAACUGGAUUGCCCAUCAGGAUGAUUUUAACCAGCUUCUGGCCGAACUGAACACUUGCCAUGGGCAGGAAACCACAGAUUCCUCGGACAAGAAGGAAAAGAAAUCUUUUAGCCUUGAGGAAAAGUCCAAAAUCUCCAAAAACCGUGUUCACUAUAUGAAAUUCACAAAAGAUCAAAUCCAGAGCAAGGCCUGUAACAAUCCUGGUUUCUACAUUUACUUAAGUGAACUUUGCUAAAGGCUAAAAAUUUCUGAUACAAGAAUCCAUCAUCAAAACUUUAGACACAUUUGCACCUUCAUUGAUAUAGCUUACUGUCUCUACCAGCUUGACAGUUUUCCCUUUGACUUUCAGAUCUGUUUUGAAUCUGUGUGUUCACAUUUUGACAUCAUGUUUUAGAACUGUGAUCUCGCAUGUACCCUCUCUUCCUUAAUCCCUCC